AUUGCCCUCUACUUUGGCAAAAAACCUGCUUUGCAUUCCUGCCAGACGUGAAAAUGAGUUAAGACUCCACCUCUCUGCUUUUACUACUCUUAGCUCCUCCCUCCCUAUUCUAAUUACUACCCAACCCCGCAGCUGUCCAGCAGCUGUAUGGAGAGGAAAAGGAAAACUGGGGGAACUGGAGUCAGGUCGGGGGAGUUUUUCCCUGGAGUAGUAGGGGGAGAGCUGAGUGGGGUUCAUCUCAUUGAGCUAGGAAGCUUGAACAAGACUUUUCUUCCCUUGGAAACCGGAUACCGUUUGCCAUUCGCCAGAGCUUCCAGCCUUAGGAAGUCACAUUGGAGGUUUGGGAUUUUUCUUGUGCGCAGGGGGUGUCUGAAGAACAGAUGACAAAGAGGACUGACUCCUGAGGCCUGAUUCCCCAACAUUUCACCUGCUGAUGCAGCAAAUCUGACUCUAUGGCUUCUUAUUUACUCAUGAGAAUAUGUUUUAUCUUAUACUUGACUUCUUUGAUUUCCACAAAUGAUUCAGAAUCCCCUACUAUUUCCAAGGAGAAUGACACCCUGAUCUGUCAAGCAAUUCCGAGAAGUCAGAGGAGGAUAACUUGGUCCAAUGAUCUGCCAGAGUUCACAACCAAUCCAGAUACCACAGGUCUACUCAACCUCAGUAUCUCUCAAUCUUGGGAUGAUAGUUUCAAUGAUAAUCCACCCUGCUGUAAAAUCAUAGAAGAAGAGGACUCCCAAGAACUUUGUGCAGAAACUUGCUAUCACACUAGUACCUUUGCAAAACCAAUCUCAGGUAUUCCAGAGACACUCCAAAGAAAGAUUGUAUUGUGGCCUCUAUUAAUCAUCUCAAUUCUAAUUGCAAUUCUGUUUCUUGGCCUCAUAUGGCAUAAAAAAAUGAAAAAUAAAUCCAGUUGUUUUUUCAGAAAUGGACAUUAAUGACCUUAUCUUGGAAGAAGAAAUGAAAUAAGUCAUAAAGGAGCUCCUUAAGAACAAAAACAAACCACGGAACCUAGGAUUUACAAGUGAAUUUUGUAAAAAAAUUAAACAAUUAAUUUUUAGGGAGCAUGGAAUAAUUUACUUGUCAGAUAUAAGGAUGAGAAGAAUUUAUGAUCCAAGAAGACUUACAUGAAUAAAAGGUCUAAUUUCUCAAAUACA
rnacentral:lncRNA from 1 species